rnacentral:lncRNA from 1 species
AUUGUAGCCAAUGUUCUAUAUUCAGCUGUAAUCUAAACAUACCCAUAUGAAUUCCAACUGAAAGCAGGAAAAUGUCUUCGAAGUAUCCUCUAUUUCCAAUGCAUUGCCAAAUUCUCUCUUCUAAUUUUUCAUUUCAUAAAGUAUACAGAGCUAACCAUCCUUGGAUUCUCAAUCAACAUGAAAUAGCUAACCACUUGAAACUGGGCUUGGAAAAGCUCAUUUGCAUUCGUGCAGCAAGGCUGGAGAAUAAACCAAGCAAAUGCGUCUAUUUGUGUACUUCAAUAUAUGACUGUGCUUGCUUCAAUCAAGACUUAUUUUCAGUAUCAUGGCCAACAAAAGCAUUAAACGAGUUUUCUCCAACAUGAGUGAUAAGCUGUAGAAUGUAUUUCUUUAAAGGAUUUUUUUUUCUGUGACGCUUAUGGAAUGCAAUAAAAAACAGAAGCAAGAGUGCAAAUCUCACUAGAAAUUCAUAACACUACCUUGCCAUUUGACUCUUUCUCCUUGUUUCCUGACAUGUUAAGUACCUUCAUUAUAGUUUAGGUUGUACCUGAUUAUAAGUUUAAAAGAUUACAGAUAUUUCAAAAGGAAUUAUUUUAAAAAAUCAGUAUUUCACAUUGAACUUUACUGAUUUUAUUCUCAACCUAAGAUUGUCAUUUCACAUACUGAUCUCUUCUGGGAGUUGAUGCUGGUAUUGCCUUCUAAGAGUGAAAAACAUCUAAAGCCUAUUUUUUCAGGCAUUACUAUUGUUUCAACAUAAUCUCUUCUGGGUAUUUUUUUUUUCAAAUUCUUCCCCCAUGAAAAUACUUGGUGCAGUUUCAUUUAAAUUAUUUCUUCCUUAACUAUUCCCUGCCAGAGACCAAACAUUUGGCUGAACCCAAUUAUUUUUCUGACUAUAAACCCAUAUGGUUUUCAUCUAUAAAAUGGAAAGCUGUACCUGUAUGUGAGAGAAAGAAAGAGGGUUUAGGGGAGGAGGACAGGGGAAGAUAAGGGAAGCGAAGAGGAGACAGGGAGACAGAGGGAAAGAUCUGUGUGUUACUGGAAAGUGAAAGAAAAGAAAAUCAUGUUCCUUGUGUUCCUCAU